rnacentral:lncRNA from 1 species
GGCGAGGCGAAGGCGCCCGCACGCUGACGGCUGUUUCUCCUGCCGACGUUUUUUCUGGCGUUGCAGAUUGGAUUGGGGACAUCUGACGGCAGGAAUCAGGUCAGUGUCUCGCUGCCAUACCAGCAAGAAAGCAGCUUAUUUGAUCGAAAAUGCGUUGAAAACAGAUCAUUGUUCACACUUGUUCAGAGUUUGCUGCUUUUGUUGCUCUUGAUUGGCCAGGCAGGUGCCACCCACUGCCUCCCGAUUGCAACCAGCUCGCCGGACUUUUUCUUGCGCACCUCCACCGCCACAGACGUCAGCUUCCCCUUCCGGCUCACCACUCGCCCCUCCAUCUCGACUUCGUCCUGCGAUUGAGGCCGGAUCAAGUGACACAGAAUGAAGGGAGAGGGUAGAAAAUGGAAGAUCUGGUGUUGCGUUACUGUCGAUCGGAC